rnacentral:rRNA from 1 species
AUUGAACGCUGGCGGCAGGCCUAACACAUGCAAGUCGAACGAGUGGCGGACGGGUGAGUAAUGUCUGGGAAACUGCCUGAUGGAGGGGGAUCACUACUGGAAACGGUAUCUAAUACCGCAUACCAUCCGAUUUGCCCAUAUGGGAUUGGCUUGUUGGUGGGGUAACGGCUCACAAGGGCGACGAUCCCUAGCUGGUCUGAGAGACUGACCAGCAAAGCGGGAAAUGUGAUACGGUCCAGACUCCUACGGAAGGAAGCAGUGGGAAAUAUUGCACAAUGGGGUAAAGCCGGAUGAAGCAAUGCCGCGUGUAUGAAGAGGGCCUUCGGGUUGUAAGGUACUUUCAGCGGGGAGGCGUUACCCGAAGAAGAAGCAACGGCUAACUCCGUGCCAACAGCCGCGGUAAUAC